UAUAUUAAAAAAAAAAAGAACUAUAUGAGACACCUUAGCUUUCCCGAAAUACUUUAGGGGAUAAGUGGCACUCCAGCCUGGUCCUGUCCAGGACUCUUACUGUUUCGUUGGGCCCUCUGUUGAUCACAUGAGCAUUUUAUAUGGAAAUACAGAGACCGCCUCUGUAGAGUCUCCUUCCAGGCAUGUGACCCUGCGGAAGGGGCUCUCGUUGUUUUGCAAAUUUGGAAAUGAAGCACCUGAGGCCUCUCUGUUGGGGCCGAUGGGGCGCAGGCAGCAGCCUGGUGGGGUCGGAAGUGCGGCUCCAGGAGCAAAGUAGGAGCGUCCCUCUGGCCCCCCAAGCCCCUCUCCCGCACUGGCCUUGCUCAAUAAGCAUUUAUUGAGCUCCAGGGGCUGGGGUCAGAGAUGACCGAGAUGCUGUUCCUGCCGCUGUCACCCAUUCAACAAACAGUGCCUCUGCGCCGUGCCGGGAGCUCCCAAAACUGGGGAACGGGCGUUUGGGGCUAUGGGGGCACUGGAGGGAACUCGGCUCAGAGGAGAGAAGCUGCUAGAGGUUUUCUGGAGUAAGGAACCUCCAGGAUUACGUUAGUCUUGCUAAGGAAUUUGGACUUUAUUCUGAGGGCGUUGGAGAGCCCCUGAAAGGUUUCUUAAAGGGUGAACUAAGAAAUUUGCAUUUUACAACAAGACUUUACAAAUUGAAACGCUAAGGAGAGCGGAUUGGCAACACUUCAAAUUCAGAUUGGUAAUUUAACCCAGGUGGCCUGUGAUGAGGGUCAAAGCUAUUCUUAAUCACAUUUGGAGGGAAUUUUAAGUGAUAACAGCUCUUUUUGUAGGGCUGUUUGGCAGUCUGUUAAAAUUGUGUAUAUCUCCCUUCUUGCUUGAUAGCCAUGUGUUUUCUUUUUACCAAGAGACAUGUACUACCUGUUCAUUACAGCACUGUCAGCUUUGUUGUGAUAUUUAAAAACUGAAAACGUAAUUGCUCAUCAAUUUGCAAACUGAUUAACCGGUAAUAUGCCCAUAGUAUACAAUAUUAUGCAGCAGUUUAAAAGAGAAUGAGGUCGAACUAUACUGAUAUGAGCCUGUCUCCAGUUGUUAAUUGGAUUGUUAACUGACAAAAAUCAAGUUCAACAGAACAUACAGUGAAUUCCCAUUUAUGUUAAAAACGAAAAACCAAAACGCCUGAUUUCUGUAUGUUAAAAUAGGUAUGUAAGUGCACCGGGGAAGAAUUCUAAAUUUAAAACAAGCCAUUCCCCUUAGGGAUUCCCCUAGGGUGGGAGCAACAAGGAUAAUAUAUUAUUGGAAAGUUUUACAGUGUGACUGUGUUCAUGUACUGUGUUGUCUCUGUGUUGCUAUAGUUAUCCAUGCACAAUCCUGUAUGGUUUUGCUGUCUAAUAGUGGGUAGGAAGAAAGGAAGAGGAAAUGGAUUACCAGAGUGAGAAUGUGGACAAGACCCUUCAGGUGGCUGUGACUGUCUUCCACGGGAGAGAACAAGUUGGCAUCUUCCUGUGGUCAUUUACCUCAGGAUCCAGAUGCUGGAUACUUAGUAAAUGUUCAGUGAGUAAUUUACCACCAUGGAAGUGUCUGGAGUGCUUGUUCUCAAGAUGGAGGAGAUUUUGCCCCCAGGAGACAUAUGAUCUUUUCACAACUAGGUAGAGGGGCUACUGGCAUCUAAUGGAUGGAGGCCUAGGCCUGGGAAGCCCAGGAGAGCCCCCAUGAUGAAGUGGGCCAAAUUAAUAGUGCCAGCGGUGAGAACCCUGAUGUAGUCAUCUAAGGGAGAGCACCCGGCCUCCUACUAGUCUUUCUACUGGCAAACAAAUUCUGCAAACCCUGCAGAACACAACUUCAACCUUUUGUUUCUGCCAAUUCUCCCAAAGGUCUGAGAAUGGAGGUGGAAAUGAAACGGAGCGAGACUCUGUGGGGCCCUUCCUGGUACAAAUCCUUUCCAUGUCUCAUUUCUUAUUUGCUGGAAAAAGACUUCGGCCUCCUUGGCCUUUCUUGAGUUCCAAAGGGGAGGUUCAAACAGUUGCUAGUCAGGGAAGGGAGGGAAUGCAGAGAUAAAGGAGAAGUCAAGAAACAAUAGUGCAGCCUUGGGGCAGGGUCUUAGUUCUUCCUGAAGGAAGAUACAUAACAAUAUCUUUGAGUUCUUCUGCAGGAACUAAGGCCCCUCCGCCCAGGUGGAAGAUGAUAACUUCAGGCUGAGCACAAGAUUCCUGGAACUGGGACUUCCCUGGUGGUCCAGUGGUAAAGAAUCCACCUUUCAGUGCAGAGGACACAGUUGGAUCCCUGGUCAGGGAACUGAGAUCCCACAUGCUGCAGGGCAACUAAGCCACAACUAUUGAGCUUGUACGCCUCAGUGAGAGAGCCCGCAUGAUGCAAACUACAGAGCCCAUGUGCCCUGGAGCCCGCGCACCACAACUAGAGAGAGAAGAAACCCGCAUGCCACAACUAGAGAAACCUGCACGCCAAGAGCCCAGGCACCUUAACGAUGCAUGCCUCAACUAAGGAAAUAAACUGAGGUUUGAAGAGGUUAAUUGUCCAAAACAGCCAGGAAUUGAACACAGGUUUGUCUGGAUUAUCUCACUGAACACAGCUUUAAAUCCUGGAAGCCUAGAGUAGUUUGGCAGAAAAUAAAGGAACAAAAGGAACAAAAGUAACAAAUGUCCUCUGACCUUUGGCUGUAGUGCUGGGAGUCCACUAAGGCAUGCUGGGGACUGUGGUGACCCAAAGAGUUCGUGCCUUGUCUAAACAGUCCCUAGCAUUCAUUAGUGUUGUUUUCUGACAAUGCUGUUUCUCCUCCUUCCAGAUGCCUGGCAAGAUUCUACUUUACGGUAGCCUUUAAAGACAGGCAUGAAUGGGAAUUCCCUGGUGGUCCAGUGGUUAGUGUAAGGCCAACUGGCCCGAGGCAGGGGAACACAAUCAGAUUCACAGGUUGCAUCAGACCAAAACUCUCCGGACCACCCAGUUCCAGAAACUGACCUGGAGACUUUGAACCCAGCCCAGCCUUCCCAGAUUCACCACACCCCUUUCCCUUCUUCCCCUAUAAAAUCUUGCCCAACCCUCGCCCGCGUGCGACUUCUCUGGCCCCUUUCUCUCGGACCCGUGAACCUCGCCCGGGAGCGCUCCCUAAUAAAGCUCACUUGAAGCUUUCCUCUGUUUCGCGGUGCUGUUUGUUAAGAUCCAACCUUACAGUUAGGACUCCACACUUUCAUUGCUGAGGGUGUGGGUUCAAUGCCUGGUCAGGGAACCAAGAUCCCACAAGCUGAGCAGCUAAGAUAAUAAUUUAAAAAAAAAAUAGGCAUGACCAUGUGCUCUGCUUUGACCAAAGCAAUGUGAGCAGAAGUGACAGAGAUCUCUUCCAGGCAGUCUUUGGAGCUGGUGAUUAUUUUGCCAAGGUCUUCCCUCCCCACCCCACCCCAAUAUUCAAUGUUGCCCCAUAUGGAUAGUCUCUCUCGAUGUGGAUCCCUGGGGAAAAACAAUUUGCACAGAGCCAUUCCUCCAAGGUGCCCAACCUGCAGUGGGCAUAGGGCAUGAGCAAGAAAUAAAUCUGUUGUUUCAAGCCAUUGAGGUUUGGGGAUUCUUUGUUACCACAGCAUUACCUGACCUAUCCUGCCAAUUAUAGAUAGGUUUCCAGAUCUUCCAGUUUUCCAGGAGCUACUCAAAAUCUGGGUCAUCACGUGACAUCACUCAGCAUUCUUUUUUUCUUAACAUUGUAUUAAUGGUAUAAAAAUGUUUUGCUCUCACUUUAAAAAAUAAUGAAAUAUUCUUUCUAAGAGUACUAUAACUGAAUUCAUUCUUUUUUAAACAUUAUUUGGAAUCUUAAUUUGUUAAAUGCUUUUCUUAGUUCUUGUAAUAAAGAAGCAACUAAUUUCA